CGGAAGGUCGGGAUAGGGAUUCUGUUGCCCGGAUUUCUAUUCGGAACCCCUGCACGGUGCACCUGGGUCCGUUGCUGCAGCUACUUUGGCGUCCGCCUCUAUUUCAACAAGAGUUGCAGUCGGAUGCGCCGCACCAGGACGGGAAAAAGCUCCGGAAAUUUAACCUCGAGCGACGAAUCCAUCGGAAACUAAUCGAAGACAGCUCCUCAAGGCAAAGACAGCGAAUAAACAACCCUUAUCGACUUGUGAGACGACGGCAGUAAAAAUGUCCAGGGUUAUUCCCGUACCACGGAUGUCGAAGAGCACCUGACUGGUGGUAUGUUGCUGGUCAUGGUCGCUAGCCACUUUGCUUGGAGGAGAAAUAAAAAAAUGUACGGAUAACUACACAGAGUAUUAAAAUAUGAAGAAUUAUGUUCAGAAUCUUUAAAAAUUUAUUACAUAAUAUUUUUGUUAAUAAAAGUGUAAAAUCC